rnacentral:lncRNA from 1 species
AUGGUAAAAUUACUUCCUAAUAAAACUGAUCAUGUAGAAGGAAGUAUGAUUAAGUUAGUUUUGUUAAAACUUGAUCAUACGAAAAAUUACAAUAAAAUUUACGAAAAAAAUAUUCCUAGUAAUAACCCAUGUAUAUUUUACAAAAGUAAAAAUAUAUUAAAAAUGUCAUCAGAAAUGAAAAGAAUAAGAGAAUAUCAUUUAAAUAUAAAUAUAUACAAAACAAAUAAUAUUAUAAAACAAAAUUUAGACCAUAUACAUUUAAUGACUUGUUUAAAAAAAAAUUAUGUAACACGUUUUAACAAUGAAUAUAAAAUUUUACCAAGUAAUGAUUAUACUAUUAUAUCUAAUGAAUUAAUAAAAUUAAAAAAUAAUUUGAAUAAAAAAGAGAUUGAAAUUGUUGUUAAAAAUGUACGAAGUCUUCAAAAAGUCUCAUCAGUCAUAUAUGUAUAUAAAAUGGAAGUUACUCAUAUGAUUUGUUUUUAUACUAUUUUUAAUGAUCAGGUCAGGCAUGUCACAACAGUGUCGCCGUCAUCGGUAAAAAGUAGUAGUGGUGGUGGUAGUAGUAGUGGUGGUAGUAGUAGUAAUGGUAGUGGUGGUAGUAGUAGUAUUGGUAGUGGUGGUAGUAAUGGUAGUGGUGGUAGUAGUGGCACUGGUGGCUGGCGCAAUAAUGAUCGUAAAAACAAGUACAUAAUUCAAAACGAAUUAAGACAAUUACAAAAACACUUUUUUUAUAAAAAUAAUUUCUAUUAUGAUGAUUUAUACAUUCAUACUUUUUUUAAAAUGAAUAAAAAUAUAAAUCAAACAAAUUACUUUUUAACAAAUAAAAGAUAUCUUUGUAUUUUGCAAUUGUAUAGUAAAGAAAAUAUAAAAUUAAUGCAUUAUAAUUAUUUUGAAUCUAUUAAUUGGAAAAUAUUAUUUGCAAAAAAAAGGAAUAAUAGUUUAUAUUUUGUACGCGAGUUAGAGGAUGAAAAUUCGGCUGUUUAUUUUGUUCCUAUAUCUGUUGGUAUAGGUUGGGUUCAGGUAGGAUAUAAUGAAAGUAGUAGUGGUGGUAGUAGUAGUAGUAGUAGUAGUAGUAGCAGUAGUAAUACCACUAACAGUAGUAGUACCAUUAGCAAUAGUAAUACCAUUAGCAGUAGUAGUACCACUAGCAGUAGUAAUAGUACCACUAGCAGUAGUAAUAGUACCACUAGCAGUAGUAAUAGUACCACUAGCAGUAGUAAUAGUAACACUAGCAGUAGUAAUAACGUUGCACAUUAUGGUAUACGCCAAAGAGUAGUAAUUACUUACCCACUCAUCUGUUACAUAAAAAAAGAUAUAAAUAUGUCUACAUUGUUUCUAUUAUCGGAUAAUGAACAAAUUGAAUAUAGAUGUAUUGGGAAGGGUGUAAAAAAAACAUGCAGUACAUAUUUAUAA